rnacentral:rRNA from 1 species
UGGGGAAUAUUGCACAAUGGGGGAAACCCUGAUGCAGCGACGCCGCGUGAGUGACGAAGGCCUUCGGGUUGUAAAGCUCUGUCGUGAGAGACGAAAAAAAUGACGGUAUCUCACAAGAAAGCCCCGGCUAACUAUGUGCCAGCAGCCGCGGUAAUACAUAGGGGGCGAGCGUUGUCCGGAGUGACUGGGCGUAAAGAGCACGUAGGCGGUAAAAUAUGUCUGAUGUGAAAUCCCCGAGCUCAACUUGGGGCGUGCAUCGGAAACUGUUUUACUUGAGUCCGGGAGAGGAAAGCGGAAUUCCCAGUGUAGCAGUGAAAUGCGUAGAUAUUGGGAGGAACACCAGUGGCGAAGGCGGCUUUCUGGACCGGUACUGACGCUGAGGUGCGAAAGUUAGGGGAGCGAACA